GGUUCCAUGGUGUAGUGGUUAUCAUGUCUGCUUAACACGCAGAAGGUCGCGAGUUCAAAACUCGCCGGAACCU
rnacentral:tRNA from 1 species